rnacentral:rRNA from 1 species
CCUACGGGAGGCAGCAGUGGGGAAUAUUGCACAAUGGCCGAGAGGCUGAACCAGCCAAGCCGCGUGAGUGAAGAAUGUCCUCGGGAUUUAAAACAUCUUCUGUCAGGGAGAAAAGUCACCCAUGUGUGAGUGUAGGAGAGUACGUGAAGAAAAAGCAUCGGCUAACUCCGCGCCAGCAGCGGCGGUAAUACGGAGGAUGCGAGCGUUAUCCGGAUUUAUUGGGUUUAAAGUGAGCGUAGAUGGGUUGGUAAGUCAGUUGUGAAAGUUUGCGGCUCAACCGUAAAAUUGCAAUUGAUACUGGCAGCCUUGAGUACAGUUGAGGUAGGCGGAAUUCGUGGUGUAGCGGUGAAAUGCGUAGAUAUCACGAAGAACACCGAUUGCGAAGGCAGCUUACUAGACUGACACUGACAUUGAGGCUCGAAAGUGUGGGGAGCAAACAGGAUUAGAUACCCUAGUAGUC